rnacentral:rRNA from 1 species
UGGGGAAUAUUGGACAAUGGGCGAAAGCCUGAUCCAGCAAUGCCGCGUGAGUGAUGAAGGCCUUAGGGUUGUAAAGCUCUUUUACCAGGGAUGAUAAUGACAGUACCUGGAGAAUAAGCUCCGGCUAACUCCGUGCCAGCAGCCGCGGUAAUACGGAGGGAGCUAGCGUUGUUCGGAAUUACUGGGCGUAAAGCGUACGUAGGCGGUGACUCAAGUCAGAGGUGAAAGCCUGGAGCUCAACUCCAGAACUGCCUUUGAACUAGGUCGCUAGAAUCACGGAGAGGUGAGUGGAAUUCCGAGUGUAGAGGUGAAAUUCGUAGAUAUUCGGAAGAACACCAGUGGCGAAGGCGGCUCACUGGACGUGUAUUGACGCUGAGGUACGAAAGCGUGGGGAGCAAACAGGAUUAGAUACCCCCGUAGUCCCUGAGCGGGCUGGCAAGGCGCAU